CACACACACACACACACACACACACACACAAAACCAAUAAAAAUCAAAUUUAAAUUUAAACUUAUACUCAUCAAGGCUGAUGGCCAAACCAGCAAAAUCAGUUAAACAAUAACAAACCGAAAUACUAAACUAGAAAAGUUAGUUAAAUAAUAAUAAUAAUCAAAAAUAUCAUUUAACAAGAGCAUAAAAAUACAUUUCUCAUAUAAAAAACACUUUGCAAAGAUUCAUUUUGCAAUUAAUUAUUAUAAAUAAAUUAUUAAAAAUUAAGUUUAGAAGAAAACUGAUUUCAAUCAAUUCUACGGAAAAGAUUAUAAGAUAAUGUAUAGCUUUUUCUUAAAUUAUUGAAAUUUGUUCUUGCUUAUGGUUGAACCAGCAAAGUUAAUUAACCAAUAAAAUCAGAAAUAAAACAGGAGCAUAAAACAAUUUCUUAAAAAAGCAUUUCGCAAAAAUCAGGAAAAAUUAUCAUUUACAGGAAAAAUGAUCAAAAAAACAUUUGUAACUUUUAGCUGACUAAUUUGGCCAUUGGCUUUAAUUUAUUAUAAUUUGCGUAACUCCAUAUUAAUUGUUACAAGAUACGUAGAAAGACUAAAGAGAGAUGCAUAAUCAUUUUGCUAAAUUUAUUCAAGUAUGUAAGCUAUGCAGAUUUAUAGAAUUUUUCUCAAAGAAACUUUUAAACCUAUUGGAAAAUCGUUGUUAUUAAUAUAUAACAUUUUCAUUUUUAACAGAAUUGAGAUCUUAAAGUUUAAUAUACAAUCUUCUAAUGUUUGCAAAAAUCAUAUCUAUAGGAUAUCCAUUCGAAAGAAGAAUAUUUAUGAUUUUGUGGAUCAAUUUUUUGGUGGAACAUGAGGUAUAAAAGAAAGAGAACUUUAUCAAUUGGAUUAAUACGAGUAAUUAUCUGUUUUUUUGCAAUUAAGAAUAAGGAAAAAAAUUUUAAUAAUGGUUCAAGUAAGUUGAUUUUUUAUAUUAAUUAUUAAAUAAUUGCCUUGUUUAUUAAAUAUAACAUUCAAAAAGUUCAAACGCUUAUCACCAACAUCAAUUGUAAAUUUUAAUUAAGAGUGGUUUAAAUUGUAUUUAUUUUUAAAUGUGUUUCCACAUUUAAAAAAGAAGUUAUAGGUGUAAAGUAAAUUUUUUAAGUGUAGAAGAUUCCAAAUCCUGUAAAAUUAAGUGUGUUGCUACAGAGAAUAGAGAGCCUAUAGGACAUCAAAUGUUUGUUUAUAACACUUGUCAUUAAACAUAAAAAAGUAGAGCGGAAAAGUAAUUUUAAUUGCAUCAAUAAAUACAUGUUUUGGUAAUUCAGUAUAUAUAAUUCAAUAAAAUUAUGUCAUUUUAAACGGUGUGAAGUUGUCUAUAUUGUAAAAAGUUGUCGCAGUCAAUCGCAAUUCAGUUUUUUUCCAAACUAUGCAUACAGAUAAUUGUCGAGAACUAAUUAUACACAUGAUUUUUACUAGGAACAUGUAAUGAUAUUGGACAAAGAGAAAAGUUUGACCAAAAGAUUAAUGCUGACAUGAUACACGUUAAAAAAACAAGACAAUGGUCUUCACAUGCAAUAUGAUGUGGGUGCGUUCGAAAAUACAUUUAGUUGGCAUUGGGAAGAAAAGUUGGCAGUAUUGAUAAUUCCUAGGUGCUGCGUUUCGUGUCUCCCAACGUGUCCCAACUGACAAGAAACUAAAGUAAAUUGAAUUACUUGUAGUGCUGAAAGAGGUCCUUUUUUGCAACAUUGCUAUUACAUAAAAGAAAUGGAAUCUAAUCAAUCCAGCAAUGCUUCGCUUAUUACUAAACGUAAUCAAUUUCAACAAUUUAAGAGGUUAACAUUGAUUGAUGAGUUAUCAAAUGUAGAAUAUGUAAUAGAAGUAGAAGAAGAAGAUAUAUAUAUUAUAAUCGUGCUUUUGAAGAUAUUACAUUUGCUACUAUGCUCCUAGAAAAAGCAAAAACAUUUUCAAAUAGCAAACAUGGUUCUACUUCGAUAACAAUUAAUAAAUCCAGUUGUUCAAAUACAGUUCAUAAUAAACUUAAUUGUUCAAAAACAGUUAAUAGUAAGCCCAGUUGUUCAAAAACAAGUACUGUAGUUCAAUUUGACGACAAUUUGACAACCUCGGAUAUUGAAAAUUGUGAUCAAGAUGAAACAAAUAUGUCAAAUUUAGAACAAAAUGAUGAUAAAUGGUCUUACAAAGCAACACUUCUUCUUAUAUCCUUAUAUAAAGAAAAUGUAUAUAUGUUGGAAAAAAUGCAUUAAAAAAAAUGUGGAUAAAAAUUUCUGAAUGUAUGCAGCAAAAAAAUUUAAAUUUACAGUGACUCAAUUAUAUAAUAAAAUGGAUCGUUAAAAAGACGAUAUCGUUAAAUUAUUGAUUAUAACGCACAAAGCAGAUAUAUGCAGAUAAUAACCGAAAAGAAUGGGUCUAAUUAGAAGUAAUAAAUUCUAAUAAAAUUAACAUUCAGAAUUAUACAAAUUUUUUAAUUUAGUUAUAAAAAAUAAGAUUUUUUAAAUUAAAAAAAUAUAUAUAAUAAGGCAAAUGAUUGAUGUAUUUAAAUACGUGUGUUUUAGUUAUUAGAUGAGAUCUUUUACAAUAAACCGUGGAUAAAACCUUUAUCCGUAGCAGGAUCAAAUAUUCAAGAACCUAACAAAUCUUUAUUUGAUGAUGAUAAAACUGAGUUACCAACCAAACAAAGAAAAAUUUUAUUAAAUGAAGAAAAAGUUCAUUAUUUGCAAGCAUCACUGGAAGAAAAGAGAUUAAAAAGACAGGAAGUUAAUGAUUAUAGAGAAAAAAAAAA